UACGUAGGGGGCAAGCGUUGUCCGGAUUUAUUGGGCGUAAAGAGCGUGUAGGCGGUUAUGCAGGUCCGCUGUGAAAACUGGAGGCUUAACCUCCAGACGUCGGUGGAAACCGUAUAACUAGAGUCCGGAAGAGGAGAGUGGAAUUCCUGGUGUAGCGGUGAAAUGCGCAGAUAUCAGGAAGAACACCCGUGGCUAAGGCGGCUCUCUAGUACGGUACUGACGCUGAGACGCGAAAGCGUGGGGAGCGAACAGG
rnacentral:rRNA from 1 species